ensembl:lncRNA novel transcript
GGGGGGCCCAGCUUCGCGCGCGGUGCUGUGGGGGUUGUAGUUCCUCCGCCGGAGCGGGACCUCCGGUGCCCCGGGCCAGGGAUGUGAGAAAGAAGCGAGCCCUCGAGUUUCCUCGGGGCAUGUGGGAAGGUUUUUUUCAGGAUCCAGGCAGAACCUUACAGAGCUGGGAGUUUUUUAACUUUCCAUUCCUGGCAGUGACGCCAGGAGCUUUAAGUGAUGGAAAUAUGCGAGUCAAUCAGUGGAUGGUGAACAAAGGAACAGUAAAUGGAGUAACUUGGCUAGAAUAUGGCAGUAACUACAAGGCAUGUUCUGCUCUGGCACGAAGACAACCCACCUGAGGCACCAGACACAUGAGUGAAGCCAUCUUGGACAUCCCAGUCACAGCCAAACUCACUCCUGAGUGCAUCUGCAUGAUGAACCCAGCAAUCCCCACCAUGGAGCAAAGGAUCCAUCCAGUCAACCCAAAGAAUCGUGAAAAAUAAUAAAUUGUUGUUUUAAAGUU